rnacentral:rRNA from 1 species
AACGAACGCUGGCGGCGUGGAUUAGGCAUGCAAGUCGAGCGAGAAAGCGACCUUCGGGUUGUAAGUACAGCGGCGAACGGGUGAGUAACAGGUGGGCAACGUGCCCUGAAGUUCGGAAUAACCCCGAGAAAUCGGAGCUAAUACCGGAUGUGGCGUUUUAGACGUCGGUCUUUAACGUUAAAGGUUGGUCCUUCGGGACCUGCUGCUUCGGGAGCGGCCCGCCCUCGAUUAGCUUGUUGGUGAGGUAACGGCUCACCAAGGCGACGAUCGAUAGCUGGUCUGAGAGGAUGGUCAGCCACACUGGGACUGAGAUACGGCCCAG